UCUAAUAAAACCUCCCAACUGAGUUGUGAGCAAAAAUUUGUGAGAUUUCUUGUGAGGUUAUUCUUGCCCACGCCUCAUAAGAAAAAAGCUCAACAAAAUCACCACACGAGGUGAAAAGCAUUUUACUGUCUAACAGCUGUUUCGUAAAUAAAAUAAAUACAAAAGAUGGAUGCUGAACAACAGGAAAAGCGAAUUCAAAAAGAAAUAACAAAGCAGGAGUAGCUCCAGUACUUCACACAGUUUGCAAUCCACAACUUGGUGCAAAAGUUAGUAUGGAAAUUAAAUAGUAUGCCUCUUCCGAAACUGCCGCAAAAACAAGCAAUAACUCCCGUCAUUACCGAAUAUACUUUUAGUAAAAAAAAGAAAAAUAACACAAGCACUGAUAGCGACCGAAAAUUAACAACACAUUAUUCAAUUGCUCAAUAUACAAUUUUAAGCGGGUGGCAAUGCUAUUAAAAAGUUUUUAUUUUUGCAUCAAGCAGAGAAGCUUUCCUUCAAUUGAUAAAGUUAUUAUGGAAGAUAUAGCGCUUUAUUGACCGGUUACAGUGCUUUCAGCUUUGUAAACCCCUUUUUUAGUAAAUAAUUAAAUUUGAACAACGGGAGCUUCUCCCCUUCAAAAUGAGAUGUCAGUCAUUAAAUUUGAAAAAAUAUCGAAGAAGAUAUUGGUUGGUAACAGAAAAAUACCUUUUAGGCAUAAGUAUGUAGAA